rfam:Triticum aestivum genome assembly, contig: Triticum_aestivum_CS42_TGACv1_scaffold_556046_7AL
CUUGUACUGCCUCCAUCCGAAAAUACUUGUCAUUGAAAUGGAUGUAUCUAGAUGUAUUUUAGUUCUAGACACAUCCAUUUUGAUGACAAGUAAUUCCAGAUGGAGGGAGUACUUG